GGCGCUUGAGGCUUUCUGCCUCAUGGCGAAAAGGUGGUUUGUAUCUUGUUGUGCGGCAGAAAGAAGAAAGCCCCGUAGUUAAUUUUUCAUUAACCCACGAGGCGAUCCCAAUGCUUGAACAACAUCAGGAUAGCCUCUUACCGCGCGUUACGCAAGGAGAAGAAGGC
rnacentral:antisense_RNA from 1 species